AAUUUUAUUGAAAACAAAAUAUAUAUAUAUAUAUAUGUUUAUCAUUUGAUCUUAAGCCGGGUUUGUUUUGGAGUAUAAAAAGAGAGAUGAGAUUAGGAUAGAGGUGGGGCUUCUGUUUGUUUAUAGUUUUGGAGAAUGGAUUGAUAAGUCGGAGAGCUUAAAAUGGGCCUUGCAUAAUAGGAUUCAUAGUCUACCCCAAUACUUGGUAUUGAAAAUUUAGUCCGUUGGUAUUAGGGAGGUGCUUACUUAUUUACCCAUCGUUGUCCUAUCUCAUCCUUUGAAGAAGUAGCAACAGGAAGGAGAGGCAAAGAGAAGCUUUCUUUUUCUUCAGAUUUUCGAUCUGAAGAUUCAGUCUACCCUACUCAUCCUUAGAAGCAACAGCAGAAAGAAUGAGAGGUAAAAAGAAGCUCUUUCUUCUUCACCGUGUGCCCUAGCUCUCUCUCAUCUUCAGAUUUUCGAUCUUCAGAUUCAGUUGAGAAUCGGCUGCAUCGGUAUGGAUGACACAAGUAGGACUAGUUCUCAUAAGAAGGGGAAACCUCGAAGGUUUUGAAAUCACCGUAAGGAACUCUUCCUCAUUACAACCAUGAAGGAUGUAACCGCAAGUAAUCACAAGUGGAAACUUGAUAAUAAUCAAUUUAGGGCAAGCUUCUACAAUGAAUGUGAGAAGAAGAUCUUAAGUGCGUUUCCUGGAGCUGAUCUUUGAGCCACUCCUCACAUCGACUCAAAGAUUAAGUUGUGGAGGAAACAAUAUAACACUCUUCAAGAUAUGUUAAAGAUAAGUGGUUUUGGUUGUGAUGAUGAACAAAAGAUGGUGUUUGUUAAUAGUGAUGACGUAUGACAAAACUAUGUCAGGAGGGUACCAGAUACAAAAAGGAUGCGAAACAGGCCAUUUCAUUCUAUGAAGAUUGGCUUAUUCUAUUUGGGAAUGAUAGGGCGACUGGUGAACUAGCUGAGGAUCUUGCUAAUGCAAUUGCAGCCAUGGAAAAUGAGGAUGCAAAUGCAACUACAGAAGAAGGAGAACAGUCUCCUGUUGAAUAGUUUAGCAUGAACAUGGGUGAUACAGACUACUCAAUGUCUACUGCAGGUAAUGUUCCCAGCCUGUUGACUCUACUAAAACUGGGAAAAAAGGGCCUCGACCUGCUGAGAGGAUUCCCACUGAACUAUCAGAGAUGACAAAAAAUCUUGGAUCAUGCAUUGAGAAUACUAAUACUACAAUGAUGGAGAUUGCUUAUAGGAUAUGAUAUUCGUAUGAUCUAUCCUAACAAAGAAGGUUGAUUAAUGCAGAACUUCUGAAGUUGCCAAUGAGUAAUACCCAAAGAUUGAUGGCAGCAUGUGUAUGAUAGUGAAAGAUGAAGACAAAAUUGACUUGUUCUUCAGUUUAGAUGAAAAUGACAAGAUGGAGUGGGUUUCUUUGCUAUUGGAAUGUCAUAUUUGAAUGUGGCAGUUUUUUGUUUGCCAUAUGACUUGUAAUAUAUUAUGUGAUGCAUAAAUAUUAUAGCUUUGGUAUUGUCUGCUACUGCAAUCUAUUUAUCUACUGCAAUAUAUUGUAUGAUGGUCUUUUUGUUGAGCUACCGCUGCUCUUUGCUACUGCUGUAAUCUGUUUAUACGCUGUUGUUGUGUUGGGCUGGUUAAGACUGAUUUUUGUAACUUGGAACUUUUUUUAAACUAAGAAUGUUAAGUUGAUAUUGUUAU